rnacentral:rRNA from 1 species
AGAGUUUGAUCCUGGCUCAGGACGAACGCUGGCGGCGCGCCUAACACAUGCAAGUCGAACGAAGAAAGCGAUAGUUUACUAGAACUUUCUUAGUGGCGGACGGGUGAGUAACACGUGAAGAACCUGCCUUACAGAGGGGGACAACAGUUGGAAACGACUGCUAAUACCGCAUAACGUUUGAGGAUGGCAUCAUCCUCAAACCAAAGGAGCAAUCCGCUGUAAGAUGGCUUCGCGUCCGAUUAGACAGUUGGCGGGGUAACGGCCCACCAAAUCUACGAUCGGUAGCCGGACUGAGAGGUUGAUCGGCCACAUUGGGACUGAGACACGGCCCAGACUCCUACGGGAGGCAGCAGUGGGGAAUAUUGCACAAUGGAGGAAACUCUGAUGCAGCGACGCCGCGUGAGGGAAGAAGGUCUUCGGAUUGUAAACCUCUGUCUUCGGUGACGAAAAUGACGGUAGCCGAGGAGGAAGCCACGGCUAACUACGUGCCAGCAGCCGCGGUAAUACGUAGGUGGCAAGCGUUGUCCGGAAUUACUGGGUGUAAAGGGAGCGUAGGCGGGAAGGCAAGUCGAUUGUCUAAACUAUGGGCUCAACCCAUAGUCGCGAUCGAAACUGCUUUUCUUGAGUGAAGUAGAGGUAAGCGGAAUUCCUAGUGUAGCGGUGAAAUGCGUAGAUAUUAGGAGGAACACCAGUGGCGAAGGCGGCUUACUGGGCUUUAACUGACGCUGAGGCUCGAAAGCGUGGGUAGCAAACAGGAUUAGAUACCCUGGUAGUCCACGCCGUAAACGAUGAUUACUAGGUGUGGGGGGACUGACCCCUUCCGUGCCGGAGUUAACACAAUAAGUAAUCCACCUGGGGAGUACGACCGCAAGGUUGAAACUCAAAGGAAUUGACGGGGGCCCGCACAAGCAGUGGAUUAUGUGGUUUAAUUCGAAGCAACGCGAAGAACCUUACCAGGUCUUGACAUCGAGUGACGGCUCUAGAGAUAGAGCUUUCCUUCGGGACACAAAGACAGGUGGUGCAUGGUUGUCGU